AACGAACGCUGGCGGCAGGCCUAACACAUGCAAGUCGAACGAGAACACCGGUCCUGCCUGCUGACGGGGGAGUAACGCGUGGGAACGUUCCCUUUUCCUCCGAAUAGCCCUGGUACACUGGGAGUAAUAUCGGAAGAGUCCUUUGGGGGCAAGAUUUAUCGUCGGAGGAUCGGCACGCGUUCGUUUAGGUUGUUGGUGUGGUAAUGGCCUAUGAAGGCGUCGAUACAUAGCUGGGUUGAGAGGAUGCGCAGCCACUCUGGGGCUGGGACACGGCCCAGACUCCUACGGGAGGGAGCAGUGGGGGAUCUUAGACUAUGGGGGAAGCCCUGAUCGAGCCAUGCCGGGUAAGCGAUGAAGUUGUUAGGGUAGUAAAGCUCUUUCAGCUGGGAAGAUAAUGACGGUACCAGCAGAAGAAGCCCCGGCUAACUCCGUG
rnacentral:rRNA from 1 species